rnacentral:rRNA from 1 species
GAUGAACGCUGGCGGCGUGCCUAAUACAUGCAAGUCGAGCGAACAGACGAGGAGCUUGCUCCUCUGACGUUAGCGGCGGACGGGUGAGUAACACGUGGAUAACCUACCUAUAAGACUGGGAUAACUUCGGGAAACCGGAGCUAAUACCGGAUAAUAUAUUGAACCGCAUGGUUCAAUAGUGAAAGACGGUUUUGCUGUCACUUAUAGAUGGAUCCGCGCCGCAUUAGCUAGUUGGUAAGGUAACGGCUUACCAAGGCAACGAUGCGUAGCCGACCUGAGAGGGGGAUGGGCCCCCUUGGAACUGAGACCCGGUCCAAACCCCGAGGGGGGGCAGGGGUAGGGAACUUUCCGCAAUGGGCGAAAGCUUGACGGGGAAACGCCGGGUGAGGGAGGAAGGUUUUCGGAUCGUAAACCCCUGUUAUUAGGGAAAAAAAAAUGUGUAAGUAACUAUGCACGUCUUGACGGUACCUAAUCAGAAAGCCCCGGCUAACUACGG